rnacentral:ncRNA from 18 species
GGUUGGACAAAUAAUUUAUUUGUUUUCAAGAGAUUAUGACUUUUGGGGUGGAAAGUA